rnacentral:rRNA from 1 species
CAGGACGAACGCUGGCGGCGUGCCUAAUACAUGCAAGUCGAACGCUUCUUUUUCCACCGGAGCUUGCUCCACCGGAAAAAGAAGAGUGGCGAACGGGUGAGUAACACGUGGGUAACCUACCCUCAAGCGGGGGAUAACAUUUGGAAACAGGUGCUAAUACCGCAUAAUAUUAAUGAACUCAUGUUUAUUAAUUGAAAGGCGCUUUUGCGUCACUUGAGGAUGGACCCGCGGUGCAUUAGCUAGUUGGUGAGGUAACGGCUCACCAAGGCCACGAUGCAUAGCCGACCUGAGAGGGUGAUCGGCCACACUGGGACUGAGACACGGCCCAGACUCCUACGGGAGGCAGCAGUAGGGAAUCUUCGGCAAUGGACGAAAGUCUGACCGAGCAACGCCGCGUGAGUGAAGAAGGUUUUCGGAUCGUAAAACUCUGUUGUUAGAGAAGAACAAGGAUGAGAGUAAAAUGUUCAUCCCUUGACGGUAUCUAACCAGAAAGCCACGGCUAACUACGUGCCAGCAGCCGCGGUAAUACGUAGGUGGCAAGCGUUGUCCGGAUUUAUUGGGCGUAAAGCGAGCGCAGGCGGUUUCUUAAGUCUGAUGUGAAAGCCCCCGGCUCAACCGGGGAGGGUCAUUGGAAACUGGGAGACUUGAGUGCAGAAGAGGAGAGUGGAAUUCCAUGUGUAGCGGUGAAAUGCGUAGAUAUAUGGAGGAACACCAGUGGCGAAGGCGGCUCUCUGGUCUGUAACUGACGCUGAGGCUCGAAAGCGUGGGGAGCAAACAGGAUUAGAUACCCUGGUAGUCCACGCCGUAAACGAUGAGUGCUAAGUGUUGGAGGGUUUCCGCCCUUCAGUGCUGCAGCAAACGCAUUAAGCACUCCGCCUGGGGAGUACGACCGCAAGGUUGAAACUCAAAGGAAUUGACGGGGGCCCGCACAAGCGGUGGA